CAAAAAUCAUACGUGGCUAGGGUUGAAACCCUAGCUGCCGCCCCUGUCUUUUCUCUUUCCUCGUCACCUGCCAAAAAUGGCAAUGUUUCAGAAGGGUGCAACCCGUUUAGUCCUUGCCAUGGCCAAAUGGAGCAAGGCAUUUAUUGCACCGUCCUCUCUCCACACUUCUCUCGCCAAAACACCACCAAAAUAGGUAAUUUCUAAUAUUUUUUUUCUUUAGUCAUUUUUUUUGUCAAACACUGAGAAUUCAUUAUGAUCUUUGUUGUCUUGUGGCUUUGAAUUUGCGAUUUUCAUUGGUCGGUUUGCAUUCCAUUGAGAUCGACUCGAAUAGGUCCAAAUCAAACCAUUCACUGUCGAUUCAAGCUUACCUUAGCUGUUGAUUUGUGGUUCGAAGGCAAAAAUCUCAUAGAUUUUUGAAAAUCCCACAUUAGUAUUUAGGGUUUCACUCAAAUUUUGGGGUUCUAUAAAUAGAACCACCAAAUCUUAACAAAAAGGAGGACUAAGACGAGAAUCCUGAUUUAAGGAUUAGAACUCGAAUUAGGAUUUUCAAGUAGAAUUUUUAGGACUUAUCUCUUGAAGUUAAGUGUUUUAGUCUAAAAUUUUUAUUUUCUUUGCUUCCUGUGUGGCUGAGGUUGGAGUUGGAUAAGGCUUCAAAUUCAUUCUUGCCCCGACUGCACUAACAAUAGGUCACUUCUUUCGCAUCAAAUAGUUUGCGAAGGCGAGUAAUGGAAGCUAAUAUAUAUGAACGAGCAUUGAAGGCCCAACCAUAGGUGAAAAUGGUUAACUAUGGGCUUGGUACAACCCUAGCUUAACUUUCCUUAUUUAUGUUAUUUCUCAUAUUUUAAGGUGUUGUAUUUGUAUUACUUAUAAAAAACACAUUACUAUUGGAAUCGAUUAUGAUUAGAACUA